UACGGGGGGGGCAAGCGUUGUUCGGAAUUACUGGGCGUAAAGGGCUCGUAGGUGGCCAACUAAGUCAGACGUGAAAUCCCUCGGCUUAACCGGGGAACUGCGUCUGAUACUGGAUGGCUUGAGUUUGGGAGAGGGACGCGGAAUUCCAGGUGUAGCGGUGAAAUGCGUAGAUAUCUGGAGGAACACCGGUGGCGAAGGCGGCGAUCUGGUCGAAUACUGACGCUGAGGCGCGAAAGCGUGGGGAGCAAACAGG
rnacentral:rRNA from 1 species